GGAAAAAAAAGUCUGGUUCGGGGGAAACGUCCCUCUUCAGAAAAGUAAAAGAAAAACAGAAACGGAAAAUAAGAACACAACCAGCAGAAUGGGGCUCCAGAACUGACCAGAAGAAACGGAUACUGACUCAAUAAAAGUGUUGUACUAACUAGUGUCAACUUUCGUCGAGAGAAGCACUGCGAAGAAGAUGAUGACGGAUACUUGCUAACACCACUGCGCUACCAGCUUCAAUGACUGAGUGUGGCACUGUGUACCUCAGAUGAUCUGGUGAGUCUGCUCCAAAGUGUGAAUGUGAGGAGACACCAGCUUGAGAAUGAGAAGCACCUUUGUUCUGCGGUUUCCAGGAAAAGCGGGAAGGCCGUGUGCUCGGCUGGAGCCAUUUCUUGAGUGCCAUAGCACUGUCGCCUCUGGCAGGUCUGAUGAUCCCC